AUACCCACAUACUACUUCAUUUUUCUCCCACACCCUGCCUAGCUGAUAGCAGUUGGUUGGAGCCAUGUGACUAGAUCUGGUCAGUGUCCUAAGAGGGGAAUUGAUGUGUGUCACUUCUAGGCUGAGGCAGAAAAAAGUUGAUGCCUGAUUCUCUACAUUUUCUACUCUACAUUCUCUACUCUGGCUUGAAUGGCCUCAUAGGUCCCUAAGUGACUAUGUGAAGCAAAACCCACGGUCGACCUGCCUGGAACAGUGUCAUACUUCUGGAAAACGUUUAUCAGUCCGCUUGCAUCUAGGAUGAGCUUCGUGACUAGUUCUCACCAAUGGAAAGUAGGCAGAAAUGAUGGACCUCCAGGCCUAGCCCAUAAAAUACUGGACUUAGCUUCUCCCUCACUCUUUCAGUCCCUUCAAUUGGAUGCAGAGGAAUCAAUGGAGGAUUUCAAGGCCCGAGAAGAUACUAGAGCCACAAGAUAGGAAAUGCUUGGAGCCUGAAUCGCCUGAAUGACUGUGUAAACAUCCAUCGACCUGAUUCCAAACAAUUCAUGUUGGACUGUGACACGAAUAAGAAAUUACUGUGUUCAGCCAUUGAAUUUGGAUUCUUAAUCACACUCAAAGCCUUAUAUUCACCCAUCCAAGGGCUGGGAUAAAAAACACUUACACAGCUUGGCCCACCCAAAUGAUGUCCUGACAAAAGAAAGUCCCAGGGCCUACGAAGUUGAGUCAGAGCCCAGGCCUGAAGACAGAUCCAAGCCAGCUUUCCUGACUAAUCCACCUUCCUGGUCCACAACCAUCGUGUCUCUUUCGAACUACAACCAUAAAUCUAAGAGGUUUUAAUUAGUAAACUAGAAUAUCAUCUUUCCGUCUAGUUAGAAUGUAUUCUUCAUUCCCUUCAGAUUAUACAUGUUCAUUUUUAUUUUUA